AUGUGAGGACCCACCUAGAAGUCACCAUCUAUGAAGCAGAAAGCAGGCCCUCAGCAGACAUGAAAUCUCCUGGUGCUUUGAUUUGGACUUCCCAGCCUCUAGAACUAGGCCAAGAAACUUGAAAAAGUGAUAGAAGCAGGGUACCCUUUGCAUCAUCAAACACAGCUCAGGUGUCUUCUGAGAAGUCAUUUUGAUACAGUAUGAAUUCAAUAAGACAAGUCUUCCAUUGAGCAUGCUUGGGUACUGGUGAGGAAUCACCUGGGGUUGUUACCAUUGAGAACUAGCAGAACAGUAACCAUCAUUCGCUCCACUGACACAUGGUGUGUCUCUUAUGCUAUUAGAAGCAGGACAGCUGGAUAUAAGCAACCAGGUACAGCUGGAAUAGAAAAGAUAGACAGUGGAUUCUUUGGCUUCAUCCAAGUGGGCUGAGGAUUGAAGUAUUUUUCCAGUCAUGUUCUUGAGCACCUACUUUCAUGGCAUGCUGACAUUUCCAGACUACUGAAGAUGUGAUGAUUAACUGAUCCUGCAUUUGGUGAAAAAAAAGUUUGCACAUUCUAAAGGAGAUAGGUUUCAAAUGACUAUAUAGGGUACAAUUUCCACUGAAGUGAUUUCUCUUAAUCUUAAUCCUUAACCACUCUCAUUGCUACAUUACCUUCCAAAAAUUAGGAGCCGGGGAGGGAUGAGAAGUUAAUUGAGCUGAGCAUCUCAGGAACAGGAAGUCACAGCUGAACAGCAAGAGUUGAUUCCACUGAGAAAAGAAAUCAGCUUGGACAGAGAUCUUCAUCUCAAUACCAAAAGGCCCUUUUGAGUUUUUCUAGCAAGAGUCCCCAGUUCCAGGAAGCCAAGCACAGGGCAAACUCUCUGUGUAAUGGCUUCCAGACUGCUUGGUUUUGGAUCCCUUCUCACAUAGUCUGAAGGGAAAGGAGGCGUACUUAUUUCAUUAGAUUAUAUGGAACAUCAGAAAUCAGGUGGGGGUGGCAGUGGUGGAAUCUCUUAAAAGUCUUUUGAAUUCCUUCGUCACUGAACUGGUUCUAGUUAAAACUAAAAUCCUGAGCAAAGAGAUUAAACAAAAGAAAACAAUAUCACAGAUACUGAACAAAAGGAAAUAGUUAUGUAUCUGAAGAGCUCUUUAAUCCUAAGCAUAGUCAAGAAAUAGUUGAGGGGACUUGCCUAAAUCAAUUUCACUUCAGAAUGAAGACAAUGUCUGGGUCACUGACCAACAUUAAUAGAAGAAAAAAAAUCAUUAGCUAAAUAAUGAAGUGACAGGAGUGAAGGAAGGUGAGAGGAAAGAACACACUAAAAAGGAAAACAGAAGACAUGAGCAAAGUACAAAGGAAAAGUAAAAGAAGUUGAAUCUUUCUCAUUUUUUUCCACUUUGAUAAAACAUUCAGAACAAAGAUUAUAACCAUACCUACUAUAUAAAGGUUUAACAUGCAGGAAUUAGUUACACAUCAACAUAAGACCAACUAGUUAGAAGUUCAUGUCCAAGGUCAAUGACACAUUUUUCUUAUUGCAAAUCUUAUAUGUACAAACCUAACUAUGAGGUAUGAGGACUGACCCUGGCAAAAAGACAAACAUUUUACAAAACAAAAAUACACCUAAUUCUCUAAAUAAAAAUGUUUUCAUCAA
rnacentral:lncRNA from 1 species